rnacentral:rRNA from 1 species
UACGUAGGGUGCGAGCGCUAAUCGGAGUUACUGGGCGUAAAGCGUGCGCAGGCGGCUUUGCAAGACAGAUGUGAAAUCCCCGGGCUCAACCUGGGAACUGCAUUUGUGACUGCAAGGCUAGAGUACGGCAGAGGGGGAUGGAAUUCCGCGUGUAGCAGUGAAAUGCGUAGGUAUGCGGAGGAACACCAAUGGCGAAGGCAAUCCCCUGGGCCUGUACUGACGCUCAUGCACGAAAGCGUGGGGAGCAAACAGG